rnacentral:rRNA from 1 species
CAAUAGCGUAUACUAAAGUUGUUGCAGUUAAAAAGCUCGUAGUUGAAGUUCUGGUCUUGGACGGCGGUCUGCUUCAAACGAGGUAUGUACCAUCUGUCCGAGUCCAUCCUCGGGGAAAACAUGUCUGUGAUUUAGUUCAUGGGUAUGGGAUCCUCGUCAUUUACUGUGAGCAAAAUAGAGUGUUUAAAGCAGGCUUAUGCCGUUGAAUAUAUUAGCAUGGAAUAAUAAGAUAGGACUUUGGAACUAUUUUGUUGGUUUGCGUUACAAAGUAAUGAUUAAUAGGGACAGUUGGGGGUAUUCGUAUUUCGUUGUCAGAGGUGAAAUUCUUGGAUUUCCGAAAGACGAACUACUGCGAAAGCAUUUACCAAGGAUGUUUUCAUUAAUCAAGAACGAAAGUUAGGGGAUCGAAGAUGAUUAGAUACCGU